rnacentral:rRNA from 1 species
AGUGAACGCUGGCGGUAGGCCUAACACAUGCAAGUCGAACGGCAGCACAGUAAGAGCUUGCUCUUACGGGUGGCGAGUGGCGGACGGGUGAGGAAUACAUCGGAAUCUACUUUUUCGUGGGGGAUAACGUAGGGAAACUUACGCUAAUACCGCAUACGACCUACGGGUGAAAGCAGGGGAUCUUCGGACCUUGCGCGAUUGAAUGAGCCUAUGUCGGAUUAGCUAGUUGGCGGGGUAAAGGCCCACCAAGUCGACGAUCCGUAGCUGGUCUGAGAGGAUGAUCAGCCACACUGGAACUGAGACACGGUCCAGACUACUACGGGAGGCAGCAGUGGGGAAUAUUGGACAAUGGGCGCAAGCCUGAUCCAGCCAUACCGCGUGGGUGAAGAAGGCCUUCGGGUUGUAAAGCCCUUUUGUUGGGAAAGAAAAGCAGCAGGUUAAUACCCCGCUGUUCUGACGGUACCCAAAGAAUAAGCACCGGCUAACUUCGUG